ensembl:misc_RNA Y_RNA Y RNA
GUCACUUCCAAGCCAAGCAGAAAUAUGUAUCAAAUUGAUCACAACCAGGAACAGAUUUCUUUGUUCUUUCUCCACUCCCACUGCUUCCCUUGACUAGCCUUAA